UGCAGUCGAGCGACUGAUUAGAAGCUUGCUUCUAUGACGUUAGCGGCGGACGGGUGAGUAACACGUGGGCAACCUGCCUGUAAGACUGGGAUAACUCCGGGAAACCGGAGCUAAUACCGGAUAACAUUUUCUCUUGCAUAAGAGAAAAUUGAAAGAUGGUUUCGGCUAUCACUUACAGAUGGGCCCGCGGUGCAUUAGCUAGUUGGUGAGGUAACGGCUCACCAAGGCAACGAUGCAUAGCCGACCUGAGAGGGUGAUCGGCCACACUGGGACUGAGACACGGCCCAGACUCCUACGGGAGGCAGCAGUAGGGAAUCUUCCGCAAUGGACGAAAGUCUGACGGAGCAACGCCGCGUGAGUGAUGAAGGCUUUCGGGUCGUAAAACUCUGUUGUUAGGGAAGAACAAGUACAAGAGUAACUGCUUGUACCUUGACGGUACCUAACCAGAAAGCCACGGCUAACUACGUGCCAGCAGCCGCGGUAAUACGUAGGUGGCAAGCGUUAUCCGGAAUUAUUGGGCGUAAAGCGCGCGCAGGCGGUUUCUUAAGUCUGAUGUGAAAGCCCACGGCUCAACCGUGGAGGGUCAUUGGAAACUGGGGAACUUGAGUGCAGAAGAGAAAAGCGGAAUUCCACGUGUAGCGGUGAAAUGCGUAGAGAUGUGGAGGAACACCAGUGGCGAAGGCGGCUUUUUGGUCUGUAACUGACGCUGAGGCGCGAAAG
rnacentral:rRNA from 1 species